rnacentral:lncRNA from 1 species
GGGAAGGUAGAAGGUGGGGUCUGCCGGACGCGUGUUCCUGCCACCAGGUGCCCGCUCCCCGCGAGGCCGGCUCAGGAGCAGAAGGAAGCCCGGUGCCAGCCAGCCUUCCUGAAAGACCAAGCCCGCGCCAUCCGGCUUCCUCCAGUGGACGCCUGCAGGACCCAGGAACACUACAUCAACACUGUUGGCGGGGACCUGGACACAGAAGACUCCUGUUUCAAGAAAAUACAAUCAUCUCUCAAAGGCUGUAAUUUAUAUGCAUUUUAAAACUCUAGGCAUUGAAAACCACCCAAGUGUCCCAAAUAGAAGGGUAAUAUAUAAUCAAUCACUCAGUGUAAUAUUAUACAUCCUUUAAAAAUGUUAUUGGGAAAUGUUUUAUGAUCUGUAAGUCCAAGGAAUCCUCUCCCACCAUUUCUUUCCCCCCGCUGUUCCCCCAUACCCACACUUCUUUGUUCCAAUUGGCAUGUAAAUUUGGUUUUCCCGCCAAAUGAGUCAGUCAUGAUGGGAACCUCAACUGAUUUGAACAGAUGUGUGUCAAUGUUACUUGGAAAACUAGAUGUCAAUAACCAGGGUCACAGAAAAAGGCAGUGGUCACAACUCUGUAAAAAUGUAUGCAUGCACACAGACAAGAACUAAAGUGGAACCCCACACAGGAAAACAGUGGGCUGUACUCCAGUGCUGGGACAUUGAAUGACUGUAUGCUGCUUUUGAUUUCCGUUAAUAUGGGCAACUGUCCAAUUAAAAAAAAAACUCCUAAGGA